rnacentral:rRNA from 1 species
UGGGGAAUAUUGGACAAUGGGCGAAAGCCUGAUCCAGCCAUGCCGCGUGAAUGAUGAAGGCCUUAGGGUUGUAAAGUUCUUUUGUCAGGGAAGAUAAUGACGGUACCUGAAGAAUAAGCACCGGCUAACUUCGUGCCAGCAGCCGCGGUAAUACGAAGGGUGCUAGCGUUGUUCGGAAUUACUGGGCGUAAAGAGCGCGUAGGCGGUUAUACAAGUCAGGGGUGAAAUCCCGGAGCUUAACUCCGGAACUGCCUUUGAAACUGUAUAGCUGGAGUGUGUGAGGGGAUAGCGGAAUUCUUAAUGUAGAGGUGAAAUUCGUAGAUAUUAAGAGGAACACCGGUGGCGAAGGCGGCUAUCUGGCACACAACUGACGCUGAGGCGCGAAAGCGUGGGGAUCAAACAGGAUUAGAUACCCCCGUAGUCC